AGCAGGGCUUGUCUUGGUACCUUUCCCAACCUGCAAACGAUCAUGAAUACUAAUAGGAUAGCCUACUUCCGUUUCAGUUUUGACACUGAUAGAACCUCCACUAGAGCCGCCAUAGGAGUCAAGUCCAGAAACCCGAUCCUUCCCUGUCCAUGUCAUGGCUGGUGCUUGUGCAUUAAGAUCAGGUGGGCCAGUUUCUACUGCCAUCUUCUGAACGCCUCUUGCUAGUUCAUCAGAUAUUGCCCUUGGAACC
rnacentral:lncRNA from 1 species